GACGAACGCUGGCGGCGUGCCUAAUACAUGCAAGUUGAGCGCUGAAGGUUGGUACUUGUACCAACUGGAUGAGCAGCGAACGGGUGAGUACCGCGUGGGGAAUCUGCCUUUGAGCGGGGGACAACAUUUGGAAACGAAUGCUAAUACCGCAUAAAAACUUUAAACACAAGUUUUAAGUUUGAAAGAUGCAAUUGCAUCACUCAAAGAUGAUCCCGCGUUGUAUUAGCUAGUUGGUGAGGUAAAGGCUCACCAAGGCGAUGAUACAUAGCCGACCUGAGAGGGUGAUCGGCCACAUUGGGACUGAGACACGGCCCAAACUCCUACGGGGGGCAGCAGUAGGGAAUCUUCGGCAAUGGACGAAAGUCUGACCGAGCAACGCCGCGUGAGUGAAGAAGGUUUUCGGAUCGUAAAACUCUGUUGGUAGAGAAGAACGUUGGUGAGAGUGGAAAGCUCAUCAAGUGACGGUAACUACCCAGAAAGGGACGGCUAACUACGUG
rnacentral:rRNA from 1 species